rnacentral:rRNA from 1 species
UCCUACGGGGUGCAGCAGGCGCGAAACCUCUGCAAUGCCUGAAAGGGUGACAGGGGGACGCCGAGUGCUCACGUUUUCGCGUGGGCUUUUGCCGAUGGUAAGUACAUCGGCGAAUAAGGGGUGGGCAAGACCGGUGCCAGCCGCCGCGGUAACACCGGCGCCCCGAGUGGGGACCGCUCUUAUUGGGCCUAAAGCAUCCGUAGCCGGCCCGGUAAAUCUUCUGUGAAAUCGGCCAGCUCAACUGGUCGGCGUGCAGAAGACACUGCCGGGCUAGGGACCGGGAGACGCUGGAGGUAUUCCCUGGGUACCGGUAAAAUGGGAUAAUCCANGGAGGACCACCUGUGGCGAAGGCGUCCAGCGGGAACGGGUCCGACGGUGAGGGAUGAAAGCCAGGGGAGCAAAUGGGAUUAGAUACCCCAGUAGUCCUGGCCGUAAACUCUGAGAGGUAGGUGUUGUAUGUCCCACGAGGGCAUGCAGCAUCGAAGGGAAGCCGCAGACCUCUCCGCCUGGGAAGUACGGUCGCAAGGCUGAAACUUAAAGGAAUUGGCGGGGGAGCACCACAAGGGGUGCGGCGUGCGGUCUAAUCGGAUUCAACGCCGAGAACCUUACCGGGGGCGACAGCAGGAUGAAGGUCCGUCUGAAGGGCGUACCUGACGCGCUGAGAGGUGGUGCAUGGCCGUCGUCAGCUCGUGCCGUGAGGUGUCCUGUUAAGUCAGGUAACGAGCGAGACCCGUGCCCACAAUUGCCAGCGCGCGCUUCGGCGUGAGCGGGCACUUUGUGGGGACUGCCUGCGAAAGCAGGAGGAAGGUGCGGGCGACGGUAGGUCUGUAUGCCCCGAAUCUCCCGGGCUACACGCGCGCAACAAUGGCCUGGACAAUGGGCUGCGACGCCGAAAGGCGAAGCGAAUCCUCGAAACCAGGCCCCAGUUCAGAUCGAGGGCUGCAACUCGCCCUCGUGACGCCGGAAUCCCUAGUAAUCGGAGUUCAACAUGCUCCGGUGAACACGUCCCUGUUCCUUGCACUCACCGCCCGUC